rnacentral:lncRNA from 1 species
GCAUGGCUCCACCACUCUCUGGCAAGUCGUGACAAUGGAUACCACUCCAGUCUCUGUAACAAACUCCACGUGGCCCUGAACGGCCCCUGAAGCCACUACUCUCUAUAACAAACUCCGCGUGGCCCUGAACGGUCCACUACCAGGCGGUUACAGAUGUCGCUGUCAAUCAGUUACGCUCUCCAUCUAUAAAAAGGGACCCCC